AUCAAGAGGCGUGUGUAUAAGCAAUUAAAAGAAACAUCGAGCAUGCAUUUAAAUCUUGCUCUGGGCGCCACGAGCAUACCAAGCCCUGACCUUUUCAAAGGGUGACUACACUUGAAUAUGACAAGGAAUUAAGGAUUACAAUGUCGAAAGUUUCAGGUCUUUUGAUGGCAGCUGUAAAGCAGGGACAAAUAUGUUUGGUUGCUAAGAGAGACAACAUUUCCUGAUGGGUUCCACAUCUUGUAAUGUUAUUGUAUCGAACACAAACCCGCCACAGAAUGUCCCGUUCACUAUUCGAAAGUGCUAUGUGUUCACACUGUGCUUUAAACUUUGUGAUUAUUUGGCUUUAUAUUCAUGCUCUCAAUCUCCAGGAUAUAAAAACUCCAGCCUGUGGUACCAUAUCUUGCUUGUGUUUCUCCUUUUUUCUUCUCCAGUGACUUUCAAAGCUUCUUUCUUAUCCUCCCUUAUCCCUUGGAAACACACCCUGCUGAUUUUCUCUCAGACCAGAAGCAUGGAAAACAAAAAUGGCACCCCAGAGGAGGAAGGAAAUGCUAGCCUUCCAUCAAGAAGGGGUCGAAUCAAAGCCAAAAUUGGUGAAGACUUAAAGACAUUUAUAACAGGAUGGUUGGGGG